GGCAGUUAACACAGCUGUUGAUGGACUGUCAUCCCGCAGUGAAGAGAUGCAUGCAUGAUUCUGCAGCCACAUCCUCAGCCAUUGUUCCUUAACCACUGGCAUCCGGAGCAGGUUCGCAAGACGUGUAGCACUGGCCGCCAAGCCUGACCCUGGUAUGGCUGGGAAUCACUCUACACCUCUUUGCCAGGAACAUUCCAGAUCCAGGACAAGAUUUAGAGAGGAAGUCAGUCUCUCAGAACUUCUUGCCAACCAGGGAGCUGAAGGAAGCCGCUGGAUCAAAAUAAGGGAGGCAGCUGUUGUAAGAAAAGGACACGCACUUGUCAGUCCCAAGACACAUACCCGGUGGCUGGAUCUGUCUUGUGAAGCUCUGUGCCUCAGUGGCUCUCUAUGAAGGGGGAUACUGGUAUCACCCCCCCAGCCAGUCUCGUGGGGUGUAAAUACAGCUUGUUAGUGUUUUGUGGAUGGGAACACGCCCUGCAGAUGUUAUUCCUUGGUGCCAUUAGCAUGUCUGCACAGCCCCUUGCCCUCCAGGUUUUCUAGCCUCCCAGCUCUGACCUUGGGGCAAAGGUCAUUCUCCCUCAGAGGCUGCCUAGCAGUGGGGUCACCACCAGCCCUCUUCAGCACCUCUAUUUAAAUGGGUACCCAGGGUGGCCUCCAAUGAGGGAAGCCAACCCACGCAGGACACGUCUUGUGGAGUGUCUGGAAAUCAUCUCAGCCGACCAAGGAGAAGGCAGGAGGGAGAAGAAGGAGGAGACGCAGCCACAGCAAAAUGCUCCAGGGAGGAGAGCCGCUCUAGAAGGGUUCUUUCUGAGCUCCACAGAGGCCUCGCCACUGAGGAAAAUGCCGAAAAAAUGCCGGCUAAUUUCAGAGGCUCCACGUUGGUGGGCCAACAGCCCAGGGAGAAUGAGCAAUUAUGAUUUCCAUCUAAGCAACAUAUGCUGUUUGCUGGCCUCUUUCGAACAGCUGUAGGUUAGAUGCUGUUAAGAUUAGUCUCCUUCUCUCCUCCAUAUUUCAGAAUUCAAAUUAAACUAAAAUAACAGCACCUGCUGAACAAAAACCCCAUUGGAAAUGUGUCCUCGUACACAAUUACUGCAGGGAGGCUGGUCACCAUUGUUACCCGCCUAUUCUUCCUGAAUGGGAACGCAGCGAAGUUUCCCAGGCAGCUGCAGCAAUUCAAUUGUAUAACUGGAGCUGGCCCCGCGCCAACCCUCAAGAACUCAAGUGGCACCAAAAGAUACUAUAUUGAUUUGCAAUCGAACAUAAUAGGCCAUCAGCUUAAUUAUUACUGAAGUGACAAGGUUCUGGGUAUUUCAUAUUUAUAUUUCAGGGCCUGUGAAGGAUGAAUGUAAAUCUUUUAAAUGCACGGAUUUGCAUAUCUUCAGAAGGGUUGAGUGCUCUUAUUACAUUCAUAGCCUUUGAAAGACCAAAAGGACUGGCUAUUGAACUCAGGUUGCCAGAUCCCACCGGCAUUUGCUUGGAUGAAGAGACAAAAGGCAUAAAAUGGAAAUUGCUUUUAGUCCAAAAAGAAAAAAAAAAAGCCAAACAAACAAACAACAAAAAAUGAAGCCCACUACUCAACUGCAUCGUGCUCUCAAGCUCGGACCCUUUGGGAGCCCUUGAAGGGAGAUUGGCUAUAGGCCUUCAUGGGUCAGAGGCAUUUGGUUAUUGAGAAAUGAAACUAAUGACUUCUUGGAACAUGAGACCCCUGUGCUCUCUCCCCAAUCUCUUCCUGUCUCCUGCAGGUCAGUAGAACCUGAUGAGCUGCGAAGAUGUGAGCAAGGGAGGCACAGAAGAGACAGGAGCUUGAUCUUUCAGUGUCUACUACGCACCCGCACCAUACUGAGACCGGCGUUGCAAAGAGAAAUGGCCUCACUGGAACCCCACCAACCCUCCUUCUCACACAUAGCUUCUAAUAAGAACUCUUCCAGGCCCUAGGUCAGGGAGGGCCAGGAAUGUUGGAUAUUUUAGAACUGUCCCAAAUUUCUUCCUUUCUUCACCUCUGGACACAUUAAGUCAUUGAAUUGUAUAGAUUCUUGCUCCUAAGUCUCCCUUGAUUUUUGUUCUCUAUCCCUGUUCAGUCCUACCAGCUCUGCUUUCUAUAGGGUCUCAUCAUAAAGCCUGGACUUAUGAGAUUGUGUCUUUCCA